GACGAACGCUGGCGGCGUGCUUAACACAUGCAAGUCGAACGGUGAAGCGCCUUCCUUUUUGGUGGGUGUGGAUGAGUGGCGAACGGGUGAGUAACACGUGAGUAACCUGCCCCCUUCUUCUGGAUAACCGCAUGAAAGUGUGGCUAAUACGGGAUAUUCUGGGUCUGUCGCAUGAUGGGUCUGGGAAAGAUAUUGUUUCGGUGGGGGAUGGGCUCGCGGCCUAUCAGCUUAUUGGUGGGGUGAUGGCCUACCAAGGCGGUGACGGGUAGCCGGCCUGAGAGGGUGGACGGUCACACUGGGACUGAGACACGGCCCAGACUCCUACGGGAGGCAGCAGUGGGGAAUAUUGCACAAUGGGCGCAAGCCUGAUGCAGCGACGCCGCGUGAGGGAUGGAGGCCUUCGGGUUGUGAACCUCUUUCGCCAGUGAAGCAGGCCUGCCUCGUUUGUGGGUGGGUUGACGGUAGCUGGAUAAGAAGCGCCGGCUAACUACGU
rnacentral:rRNA from 1 species